GAUAACAAGUUAACUUAUCCCCAAUAACUCACAUUGACAAAAAGGUUUGACACCUCGAUGUUAGCUCUUUUCCACCUGAGGUUGUAGUAUAUUCCAAAGGUUAGGUUGUUCGCUUAUUAAAGCAAUACGUGAAUUCGGUUCAUAACGUUGUCAGAUAAUUU
rnacentral:ncRNA from 1 species